CACGUAGGGCGCGAGCGUUGUCCGGAAUUAUUGGGCGUAAAGAGCUUGUAGGCGGCCUGUUGCGUCCGCUGUGAAAGCCCGGGGCUUAACCCCGGGUCGGCAGUGGAUACGGGCAGGCUAGAGGUAGGUAGGGGAGAAUGGAAUUCCCGGUGUAGCGGUGAAAUGCGCAGAUAUCGGGAGGAACACCUGUGGCGAAAGCGGCUCACUGGACCACAACUGACGCUGAUGCGCGAAAGCUAGGGGAGCAAGCAGG
rnacentral:rRNA from 1 species